UACGUAGGUGGCAAGCGUUGUCCGGAUUUAUUGGGUUUAAAGGGUGCGUAGGCGGCUUUGUAAGUCAGUGGUGAAAUAUGGCAGCUCAACUGUCAGGGUGCCAUUGAUACUGCGGAGCUUGAGUACAGAUGAGGUAGGCGGAAUUGACGGUGUAGCGGUGAAAUGCUUAGAUAUCGUCAAGAACACCGAUAGCGAAGGCAGCUUACUGGGCUGUAACUGACGCUGAGGCACGAAAAGUGUGGGGAUCAAACAGGG
rnacentral:rRNA from 1 species